ACUGGGCGUAAAGCGUGCGCAGGCGGUUGUGCAAGACCGAUGUGAAAUCCCCGAGCUUAACUUGGGAAUUGCAUUGGUGACUGCACGGCUAGAGUGUGUCAGAGGGGGGUAGAAUUCCACGUGUAGCAGUGAAAUGCGUAGAGAUGUGGAGGAAUACCGAUGGCGAAGGCAGCCCCCUGGGAUAACACUGACGCUCAUGCACGAAAGCGUGGGGAGCAAACAGGAUUAGAUACCCUGGUAGUCCACGCCCUAAACGAUGUCAACUAGUUGUUGGGGAUUCAUUUCCUUAGUAACGUAGCUAACGCGUGAAGUUGACCGCCUGGGGAGUACGGUCGCAAGAUUAAAACUCAAAGGAAUUGACGGGGACCCGCACAAGCGGUGGAUGAUGUGGAUUAAUUCGAUGCAACGCGAAAAACCUUACCUACCCUUGACAUGCCACUAACGAAGCAGAGAUGCAUUAGGUGCUCGAAAGAGAAGGUGGACACAGGUGCUGCAUGGCUGUCGUCAACUCGUGUCGUGAGACGUUGGGUUAAGUCCCGCAACGAGCGCAACCCUUGUCUCUAGUUGCUACGAAAGGGCACUCUAGAGAGACUGCCGGUGACAAACCGGAGGAAGGUGGGGAUGACGUCAAGUCCUCAUGGCCCUUAUGGGUAGGGCUUCACACGUCAUACAAUGGUGCAUACAGAGGGUUGCCAAGCCGCGAGGUGGAGCUAAUCCCAGAAAAUGCAUCGUAGUCCGGAUCGUAGUCUGCAACUCGACUACGUGAAGCUGGAAUCGCU
rnacentral:rRNA from 1 species